GGGGAAUUUUCCGCAAUGGGCGAAAGCCUGACGGAGCAAUACCGCGUGAGGGAGGAAGGCUCUUGGGUCGUAAACCUCUUUUCUCAGGGAAGAAGACAAUGACGGUACCUGAGGAAUAAGCAUCGGCUAACUCCGUGCCAGCAGCCGCGGUAAUACGGAGGAUGCAAGCGUUAUCCGGAAUGAUUGGGCGUAAAGCGUCCGCAGGUGGCGAUGUAAGUCUGCUGUUAAAGAGUGAGGCUCAACCUCAUAAGAGCAGUGGAAACUACAUAGCUAGAGUACGUUCGGGGCAGAGGGAAUUCCUGGUGUAGCGGUGAAAUGCGUAGAGAUCAGGAAGAACACCAGUGGCGAAGGCGCUCUGCUAGGCCGUAACUGACACUGAGGGACGAAAGCUAGGGGAGCGAAUGGGAUUAGAUACCCCAGUAGUCCUAGCCGUAAACGAUGGAUACUAGGCGUGGCUUGUAUCGACCCGAGCCGUGCCGUAGCUAACGCGUUAAGUAUCCCGCCUGGGGAGUACGCCGGCAACGGUGAAACUCAAAGGAAUUGACGGGGGCCCGCACAAGCGGUGGAGUAUGUGGUUUAAUUCGAUGCAACGCGAAGAACCUUACCAAGGCUUGACAUGUCGCGAAUCUUCUCGAAAGGGAAGAGUGCCUUCGGGAGCGCGAACACAGGUGGUGCAUGGCUGUCGUCAGCUCGUGUCGUGAGAUGUUGGGUUAAGUCCCGCAACGAGCGCAACCCUCGUUUUUAGUUGCCAGCAUUAAGUUGGGCACUCUAGAGAGACUGCCGGUGACAAACCGGAGGAAGGUGGGGAUGACGUCAAGUCAGCAUGCCCCUUACGCCUUGGGCUACACACGUACUACAAUGCUCCGGACAGAGGGCAGCAAGCAUGCGAAUGCAAGCAAAUCCCGUAAACCGGAGCUCAGUUCAGAUCGCAGGCUGCAACUCGCCUGCGUGAAGGAGGAAUCGCUAGUAAUUGCAGGUCAGCAUACUGCAGUGAAUUCGUUCCCGGGCCUUGUACACACCGCCCGUCACACCAUGGAAGCUGGUAGUGCCCGAAGUCAUUACUCCAACCUUUCGGGGGGGAGGAUGCCUAAGGCAGGACUGGUGACUGGGGUGAAGUCGUAACAAGGUAGCCGUACCGGAAGGUGUGGCUGGAUCACCUCCUU
rnacentral:rRNA from 1 species